rnacentral:rRNA from 1 species
AUUGAACGCUGGCGGCAUGCUUUACACAUGCAAGUCGAACGGUAACAGCACUUCGGUGGCUGACGAGUGGCGAACGGGUGAGUAAUACAUCGGAACGUGCCUAGUAGUGGGGGAUAACUACUCGAAAGAGUAGCUAAUACCGCAUGAGAUCUAAGGAUGAAAGCAGGGGACCUUCGGGCCUUGCGCUACUAGAGCGGCUGAUGGCAGAUUAGGUAGUUGGGGGGAUAAAAGCUUACCAAGCCGACGAUCUGUAGCUGGUCUGAGAGGACGACCAGCCACACUGGGACUGAGACACGGCCCAGACUCCUACGGGAGGCAGCAGUGGGGAAUUUUGGACAAUGGGCGCAAGCCUGAUCCAGCAAUGCCGCGUGCAGGAUGAAGGCCUUCGGGUUGUAAACUGCUUUUGUACGGAACGAAAAGCCCUCUUCUAAUACAGGAGGGUCAUGACGGUACCGGAAGAAUAAGCACCGGCUAACUACGUG